rnacentral:piRNA from 1 species
CACAAUUGCCCGUGAUGGGAUCUGAUGC